rnacentral:pre_miRNA from 1 species
AACAUUCAACGCUGUCGGUGAGUUUGAGAAUAAAGUGUAAACUAUCGACCGUUGACUGUACC